GACGAACGCUGGCGGCGUGCUUAACACAUGCAAGUCGAACGGAAAGGCCCUGCUGUUGUGGGGUGCUCGAGUGGCGAACGGGUGAGUAACACGUGAGUAACCUGCCCUUGACUUUGGGAUAACUUCAGGAAACUGGGGCUAAUACCGGAUAGGAGCUCCGGCUGCAUGGUGGGGGUUGGAAAGGUUCGGCGGUUGGGGCUGGACUCGCGGCUUAUCAGCUUGUUGGUGGGGUAGUGGCUUACCAAGGCUGUGACGGGUAGCCGGCCUUAGAGGGUGAACGGGCACAUGGGGCCUGAGGGACGGCCCAGAGUGCUACGGGAGGCAGUGGUGGGGAACCUUACGCAAUGGGCGGAAGUCUGAGGCAGCGACGUCGGGUGUGUGAUGUCGGCUCUCGGGGUGGAAACCGAUUUCGCCUGAUACGAAGGCUGAUUGACGGUACCGGGUAAAGAAGCACCGGCUAACUCCGUG
rnacentral:rRNA from 1 species